GGUUGUGGCUCAGUGGUAGAGCGCUUGCUUAGCACGCAUGAGUCACUGGGUUUGAUUCUCAGCACCACCU
rnacentral:tRNA from 1 species